AGUGAACGCUGGCGGCAGGCCUAACACAUGCAAGUCGAACGGAAGCACCGUGCUUGCUUGCUGUUCCGGGUGGGGAGUGGGGGGCGAGUCAGGGGAAUAUCCGGAUCUGCGUUUUAGAAGGGGCUGAGGUAGGGGCUGAUACGACAAUACAGCAUAUGGAGUAAGUGGGGGAGCAUGGGAUCUUAGGCUCUUAGGCGAAUGGAUGCGCGGAUGUCGAGUUAGUUAGUUGGUGGGGUACAGGCCCAGCAAGGCGACGAUCCGUAGCUGGUCUGAGAGGAUGAUCAGCCACACUGGAACUGAGACACGGUCCAGACUCCUACGGGAGGCAGCAGUGGGGAAUAUUGGACAAUGGGCGGAAGCCUGAUCCAGCCAUACCGCGUGGGUGAAGAAGGCCUUCGGGUUGUAAAGCCCUUUUGCUGGGAAAGAAAAGCAGUAGGUUAAUACCACGCUGUUCUGACGGUACCCAAAGAAUAAGCACCGGCUAACUUCGUG
rnacentral:rRNA from 1 species